rnacentral:rRNA from 1 species
AAAGAAACCAACAGGGAUUGCCUUAGUAACGGCGAGUGAAGCGGCAAAAGCUCAAAUUUGAAAUCUGGCACCUUCGGUGUCCGAGUUGUAAUUUGAAGAAGGUAACUUUGGGAUUGGCUCUUGUCUAAGUUCCUUGGAACAGGACGUCACAGAGGGUGAGAAUCCCGUGCGAUGAGAUGACCAAUCCUAUGUAAAGUGCUUUCGAAGAGUCGAGUUGUUUGGGAAUGCAGCUCUAAGUGGGUGGUAAAUUCCAUCUAAAGCUAAAUAUUGGCGAGAGACCGAUAGCGAACAAGUACAGUGAUGGAAAGAUGAAAAGAACUUUGAAAAGAGAGUGAAAAAGUACGUGAAAUUGUUGAAAGGGAAGGGCUUGAGAUCAGACUUGGUAUUUUGCAUUCCUUACCUUCGUGGUGGGGUUCCUUGCAGUUUACUGGGCCAGCAUCGGUUUGGAUGGUGGGAUAAUGACAUUGGAAUGUGGCUCUGCUUCGGUAGAGUGUUAUAGCCAGUGUUGAUACCGCCUGUCUAGACCGAGGACUGCGUCUUUGACUAGGAUGCUGGCAUAAUGAUCUUAAGUCGCC